AUGUUUAUGCAUAAAAAAUAUUAAAUUAGUUUUGAUAUAUUACUCAUUGAAUAUAAUUUCUUAUAUAAGCGUUGUUAAAGAAUUAUUUCACGAUAAAACUAAAUAAAUCUAAAAAAUAGUUUUUUCAAUUUUGAGCUAUUAGAUCUCAAUAUACAAUUAGUUGAUUUUAUAUAAUCUAGUAAAUAAAAAGUGAAAAAUGCUUAAGAUCCCUGAAAAAUGCUUAAAUUUACACUCAAUGGCAUUAAAUGUUACAUGUCAAUUGAUUUGUUUAUAAAUCAAUUAACUAAGACCUAACCCCUGCCAUGUCACUGUAAAUAAAUUUAAGGGUGAAGUUUUAGGUUCUCUGGCAUUACUCCUAAAAAAGUAUACAUAUCAUUUGAUUUCUAAAAUCCAAAAAAUAAGUGACAUGUACCUCUUGUUUUAAUAAAAUCAACUAAAGAUAAAAUAUAUGCUGUUAUUUAAAACGUGAAAUAAUUAGAGAUCAUUUCAUUAGAUGUUGUAAAAUAUUAACGAAAUAAAAAGGUAGUAAACUAUUUCUUAUAAAAUUUAAAAAUCCACCUUAUUAUACAUUUUACAAAUACUCAUAAAUAUAGAAUUAAUAAUAAAUUGUCGAAAAUCGGAGGGAGGCGGGGCCCCUCCCCUGCUUGGAUUCAAAAUCUGUUUUCCUUUAGCUAAGAAAGCAAGAAAAUUUACUUUGAGACUUAUAAUGUAGAAAUGCCAAGGUUCUGAUGUGAGCCCAUGCUAUUUUAUUCAGUUCAACUUAUAAUAUUGUUGUGGCGGUUGUAUUUUUAGUUAUGAAAUUGUAUAUUGGUGUAUGAACGGGUGUUUAGCAGGGGUGAUGUGUUGUAUCAAUGUUGUGGUAGUUGUAUUUUGAAUUAGGGAUUUAUAUCUUCUGGUGUUUGGAAUCCAGACUUUGGGUGAUUGUUUAGUAAAGAGAUUCUGUUUUAUAGCUCUGAUGUGGGCUCUGACAUGGUGGUACCUUAAAGAGUCAAAAUCCAUGCAAUUUGGCAUUAAAGAGCAAGAGAAGUGCUUCUAUGAUGCUUACCACUUUGUGCCUUUGGUUUCUUAUACAAUCCACGACCUUUUUUUGAGUGGGUUGUACUUGUACCUUUGGUUAUCCCCUCUUUUGUUUUCUAGUAGUUAUUGGAGUUACAAUAAGGGGGAACCAUAACAUUGUCUGCUCUGUUGUUUUCUAGGGGCUUUAGGAUAGUUAAGAAAAGGCCAAAUCCCCAAAUACAUCCAAUGAAUAAGUUAUUCAUCAUCCUGAAGCCUCUCUCUCCCUUUGUGUGACUAUGUGAUUGGCCAUGAAAGAUAUUCUAAACUAGUUAUUGCUGUAACUUAUCGGAAUGAACAAUGUUGAUAAAACUUUUUGAUGAUUCUGAUUAAGAAAUGAAAAUUCCUAAUCCUUGUGUGCCAUGCACCAAGAUAUGUUUUAGCAUUUUAUUGAAGUUGACUUGUGAUUAGCAGAUAAUGUCGAUUUUGUUUAUGUUCUACAUUGUCCCAACAGCUUUGGUCAAAAUGACUUCUUUUUUCGCUCUUGAUUUUUUUUAGCAGAUAAUUCACCAAGCUGGCUCACCCCCCAAAUUUUCAAUAUACAUUUUCAAAGAAUAUGUUUUCUAUGUAUAUCAUAUAUGUGAAAGUGUACAAAAAGCUUGUGUUAGAGUGAAACUAUACAUGUGUAUUUGUUUUGCACACCAUGUGUUUGUUUAUUUUCCUUGUAGAAAGAAAAGGUAAAUAGGUAGUUGGUGGAAUACUGGAAGCACUGCCUCAAUAAGCGUGCUUGCACAUCCAUGUUCAACUUCUAUUUGUGUAGGUGUACUUGUUUAUGUACCAUGUGAAUUUGACAGUAUUAUGUUUGCAGGUGAAUGACAACAACAAUAAUUCAUUUCUGUAUCAAUUUUGUGGCUCUACUGCUCUAUGGUAAAAUAACUUGGUGAUCAUGGAUGGCUUGAAAUCUAUUACUGAAGCAAUACCGAGAACAUUUUCAGUCACUUUCAGAUUAUUCUUUUAACCUCAAAUUUGUGCACUGACUCCAUGGACAUCUAAUACUAGUUCGGUCCAGCGAGAGGUAAGGAAGAGAAAUUGAGAUCGUAAAUUCAGUCCCAUUAUUAUGAAAGAAUUAUGUUAUAUUGAUUUUAUGUUGAUUGCAUAUUUCUUCAUAAAACUAAAAGUUUACCUAAUUGGAUGACAUUUUUGUGGAAUUCUAUUGUAAUCUUGACUUAAAUUGUUUCUGCCAAGAAUUUUUUUUUUUUUUUUAUUUUUCAUGUA